UUUUCAUUCAACAGAAGCUUUCUCCUUCAUAUAUUCAAAUUAUCUUUCACUACAUACAUAACACAGUCGAGAGUGAGUUUAGUGUGUGUGAGUGUUUAGGGACCUGAACCAACAUUUGGUAUCAGAGCCUAGGGCUCGUAGAAAGCGGGUUUGAAGAUCGGAGGAAGCCUCCGCCGGCGGCGGGUGUGUCGGUCGGUGGAGGGCAGGCGUAGAAGAAGGGUCGGGACAGCAGGGUGCUGUUUCAGGUCUGUUUAGCAGCCGUAAUCGGAGGCGUUUUGGUGUUUCGGUCGGCUGUUGUUGUGGUAGACGUACCAGUUAAGACGACGGGGGUGACCGGUGAUAAACACUUGUUUUCCGGGGCUGUUAGUGGUGAUGAAAGGAGGAAGAACGGGGCUGUUCGGUUAUUAGUUGCGGGUUUGAGCAACUGGUAUAUAUCCGGUGACAACAGCAGGUUUCGCAGGUACCUUGAUCGAGUUGUUCGUGAUAAGAGGAGACCGGCGUAGUGCGUGAAAAGCGGGCAGAAUGGAUCCGUCAAAGCAGGUGGCUUUGGAUUCGUCUCGUUUCGCAAGGUGAGAAAACGGAAGAAGCGGGUGGCUUUGUUUUCUUGGUCGGUGGAGUGGCCUCUUGAACAAGAGUGAUCGGAAAAAGGUAAAGAAAAAAAACACGGUGUGAUAUUAUGGCGUUGGAGUUCAAUCGGGUGGCUUUGGAUGUGACCGGGGAGAGGUCGUUGAUCCGUGGAAAAGUCGUGAUUGUAGUGGAGUUGAUUUGGGUUGAACCGAGAAGACGUUGGACGUGACCGAGUGAAGGUCGGGUGUCGGGUCGAAGUCGAGAUGGUUCAAGAGGAAACGUGUUUCGGGUGUCAUAAAUGAGCGGUGUGAACAAACCGAUUAAGGGGGUGAAUGUUGGGUUAAUCGGUUUAUUCAUGGGCUAACGGGUCAUGGUUCGGAUUCCAGAAAGUGGGUUAUCCAUGUUAGUUCCGUAUGAGAGGGAAAAUGGACGUUAUGUUUGACCGAGAUUGUUGGAAGAAUAUGUGGUUGAGGCAUGACCGAUUUAUAUGUAUACGUUCCAGUGCAUUUUGGAGUAAAUGAGUCAUGGGGUUUACCACUUUUAUAGGAUAAAAUAGUUUUUUUUAUUAGUUUUAUGAUUCCCACGUUCUUGUUUGUUAUGGCUAUAUAAAGCCUUAUUUGUUUAUUGAAUAAUACAACCCUUUUCAUUCAACAGAAGCUUUCUCCU
rnacentral:lncRNA from 1 species